UACGAAGGGGCUAGCGUUGCUCGGAAUUACUGGGCGUAAAGCGCACGUAGGCGGCUUUCUAAGUCAGGGGUGAAAUCCUGGAGCUCAACUCCAGAACUGCCUUUGAUACUGAGGAUCUUGAGUUCGGGAGAGGUGAGUGGAACUGCGAGUGUAGAGGUGAAAUUCGUAGAUAUUCGCAAGAACACCAGUGGCGAAGGCGGCUCACUGGCCCGAUACUGACGCUGAGGCACGAAAGCGUGGGGAGCAAACAGGG
rnacentral:rRNA from 1 species